UACGAGGGGGGCAAGCGUUGUUCGGAAUUAUUGGGCGUAAAGGGCGCGUAGGCGGCGCGGUAUGUCUCUUGUGAAAUCUCCAGGCUCAACUUGGAGUCUGCAAGGGAAACUGCCGUGCUUGAGUACUGGAGAGGUGAGUGGAAUUCCCGGUGUAGCGGUGAAAUGCGCAGAUAUCGGGAAGAACACCCGUGGCGAAGGCGGCUCUCUGGGACGGUACUGACGCUGAGACGCGAAAGCGUGGGGAGCGAACAGG
rnacentral:rRNA from 1 species